ACUAUUUUGGCAGAGAAUUGUAAUGAUUUUAGAAGUCAUAUUAUAUAUAUUUAUAAUAUAUAGAUAGUA
rnacentral:tRNA from 1 species